GGCACUUGACCCUCCCAGGAGUCGGCCAGGACGCCUGCUGGCUGGCGCAGGGCCCAGAGCAUGUGUUUCCACACAUACUACUCUCAUUGGUGGCUUCCGUAGAUGCCCGAAGAGUAUCUGAGGACCACAUCACUAUACUGUCUGGUGUUUUAAAGACCACAACCUUUCAUCUUGAAAUUUCAAGGAUUUGGUCCUUAUUGGUCCCAGACCAACCCAGGAGAGAGGAGCAAUGCUCAGCACAAAUUUGGAUUUUCCAUCAUUUCAAGCAGAUGUGCGAAGCCAGAUGUGGACCAGCUCAAGGAAGGAGGGCCUUAUGGCCAGAGUAUUUUACAUAGUCAGUGGUAUAACUCAUGAGAGCUAAAUAGAAAAACGAUGAAUUUAGAUGCAGAACUAAGCAGAGUGAGAGGAAAGAAAAAGGCUUGUCACACAAUCUUGUCUCUGUUAUCCAACAAGAUAUGCUAACAUUUCUUUAGGGUUGAGGAAUCCCCUUGUGAAGACUAUGUGUGUAUACAUGUGUAUAUGUAUGUGUAUUUGUUUCAGAG
rnacentral:lncRNA from 1 species